rnacentral:misc_RNA from 1 species
UACAAAUAAGGAUGAGCUUGAUAAUCAAGAGGAAGAAAUUUUGAUAUACAAUACAACUUUUUUUUUUUAUUAAUAUUAAUUUGAUUUCAAACUCAUCAACUAGAGUUCCUACAGCCAUUCAUGAUCUCAAGAGAAAUAUGCUAAGUUCUUGCCCAGAACUCCCAACCGGAUUAAUCAUGUGAAAAGACUCCGAGUCAGCAGAACCAAUGACUCGUUCGAAACUGGCGCGUAGAUACAUGAGGUCUCCAUCCUCAGACUUGGGCGCCACCGGUAAAACGCCCGCACCUACGGAGACCGAUUGCAUCAUCUUCAGUACUCCUACAUCGUUCACUGUCAUCUGCCUCCUGAUGGCAAAUCCAACCUUCCUUCCAUUGCAGUACAUGGACCAAACCGGCACGUUGAAGAGGGAACAUGAACUGGACCUCUCCUUUUGUCGGUCGCACUCUAGAGCUAUACGGAGCAGCCCGUACUGCAUCUCCCUGGCUAGGUAAGCCGUAGGAACUGCAAAUUCAAGCAGUAAAAGAGGAGAGCUGCGGGUAUCCUCCUGGAGGCAAAAACUAACGCGACCCUUUCUGUAACCAAAGAAGGUGCCGGUUACAGUGGAGCCGUGAGUAGAGUCGGUGUCGCUGGAAAGGGAAUCGGAUGGUUGAAAUCCACAGCAGGGGACCAUGCAUUCCACGAGUGACCUAAAGGAUCUGCGGAAGCGAACCCCCCUGCCACAGUCUACGGAGGUUGGAGGGUCCAUUAUAGGCAGUGGACCUCGUUGGUUUCCCAAGUCUAUCAUCAUCCUCAUGGUUUCUGUAACUUCAAGAGGUGGUGGUGAGCGUAGAAACAAAUACAGGAGAGAUG